rnacentral:rRNA from 1 species
GUAAGAUAAUUUGGAUAAGUUGCCGAGGGAAGCUGGAAUUUUACCUGUCAACUGAUUGGUUCCAAGAUGCAAACGUGAGAGUUCCUGUAUAAGACCUAAUUCGGGCGGAAUCUCCCCUGUGAGGUUGUUGUAGGGCAUGUCUAUUGUAGAAAGACUGGUGAGAUUGCUUAGACCAGUUGGGAUUGAGCCAAUAAGCUGAUUAGAACCCAACUCAAGCACUUCAAGGCGUGUCAAUUUGGCUAACCAUGUUGGUACAACAUCCACAAAAGAAUUUGCAGAAAAAUCAAGUACUUGUAGGUAUUGACAUGAUGCAAGCCCUGAUGGAAACCGACCGGUAAAUUUGUUACUUGAUAAUGAAAUAAAUUGCAACAUUGGGAGGUUGAAACUUUGAUUGUU